AUGAGCCAGGCAAUAUUUUCAAGAUUCAAAAGCACAUUUUGUCUAACAGAAAAUUCUCAAGGUCAGUUGUGGGAUAUAAACACCGUUCUCUCUCUGUCUCUCAGCGUUCCCAAAGAGGAAAUGGAAUUCCAGCACAAUCUGGAGCAGAUUAAAGAACACGAGGAAGCCAAUCAUUCCACUCCAUUUCUAGGCAGCUUGAGUCGCAUUCUUGGCGUCCAGUCGCCCAAUUUCCCCCGCUUGACACCCACAUCCCAAGUCUCCCUCCUGCGGCGACGUCCCCGUGCCCCCUUCUCUCGCUUCCCCCUUUAUCUCCAUCCCGAGAGCUUUCUGAUGCCCAGCCAUGCCCGGAAUGCUGACAUGGAGGAUGCAUUCUCAUCCAUGCCUCUAUACGAAAGACCCGGUUUCUACAGUUGCCCUCAGACGCCCAUCCACUGCGUCCCUCCGUCCAUUCCUCGCCCAAGACCACGAAGAGCGCACGGCGACAGCUCCAGCUCCCUGGUGCAUCCGUUGAUGGGCUCUCAAGUCUUGGCUCCGCCCGACACGCCUGCGCCUCCUUCCUCCGCCUUCCCUUGGGUGGGUGAAGACAGUGAACAUUCGUGUCCCGCCUUCUCCUUUCCAGACCCUGUGCCUGAGCUGUUACCCAAAGUACGGCCAAGUCAAGGGUUGCCAUCGCGCCGCCCCCUGCCUCUACGACUCUCUUUGGAGACAACCCCAUCUCCGUCUACACCUGAAAGGGUGUUUUCUUUCACUCCUCCAUCUUGGUCGCAAUCUCAAAUCAAUACCGCCAGUUCAGGGAGUGUGAACUCAGCUGCGACUUCAAACAGCAACAACAACCUAUACAACAGCGUGGCAAACAACCCCUGGCCAAUCAGCAGAAGCACCACUGCAAGCACAGCCAAUCCCAUCAGCCCAAGCCCCACGGCGACUCAGCAGACAGCCAAUCAGCACAACUCUGCCAACGACUCUGGCAUCUCAUUGGCUGAGGGGGAUCUGUUGGGUGCUGCAGUGAAAACAAAGGAACAGCUCUGA
ensembl:lncRNA